GUCCGAGAUGAUUCCCCGUUUACAAUGGCGUCACGCUAGGGAUGUGAGGGCGUUAGUAAAGAGCAGGGGUAGAGUGAACAAAAUCAUGGCAAAUUAUAUUUGUUGAUUGGGGGCGGUGGUCGUUAGACACCGUGACUUGGAGGCGAAGCUUCCGGGAUAUUUCCAGCCGGACGGUUUUCAUCUUUCUGAUGUGGGUCUGGACUUUAUGUUGUUUGGUUUUCAG